AAAAUAAAAUAUAUAUGCGUUCGGGGGGAAUCGAACCCCCGUCGAAUGCUUGGAAGGCAUCCAUGCUGACCAUUACACCACGAACGCGCUGUUUUCCU